CAGCCGCCGCGGGAAUACGUAGGGUGCAAGCGUUAAUCGGAAUUACUGGGCGUAAAACGUCUGUAGGUGGCUUUUCAAGUCCGCCGUCAAAUCCCAGGGCUCAACCUUGGACAGGCGGUGGAAACUACCAAGCUGGAGUACGGUAGGGGCAGAGGGAAUUUCCAGUGGAGCGGUGAAAUGCGUUGAGAUCGAAAAGAACACCAACAGCGAAAGCACUCUGCUGGGACGACACUGACACUAAGAGACGAAAGCUAGGGGAGCAAAUGGGAUUAGAUACCCCUGUAGUCCCUGUCUCUUAUAC
rnacentral:rRNA from 1 species